CCAAUAGCGUAUAUUAAAGUUGUUGCAGUUAAAAAGCUCGUAGUUGAACCUCGGGAUCAAUGGAUCGGUCAUGCCAUCGGUAUGUACUGGUCUCAUUGGUUCUCACCUUCUAAGGAACCAUGAUGUCAUUAAUUUGAUGAUGUGGGGAAUUAGGACUGUUACCUUGAAAAAAUUAGAGUGUUUAAAGCAGGCUAACGCUUGAAUACAUUAGCAUGGAAUAAUGAAAUAGGACAUCGCAUUCUAUUUUGUUGGUUUCUAGGAUCGAUGUAAUGAUUAAUAGGGAUAGUUGGGGGCAUUAGUAUUCAAUUGUCAGAGGUGAAAUUCUUGGAUUUAUUGAAGACUAACUACUGCGAAAGCAUUUGCCAAGGAUGUUUUCAUUAAUCAAGAACGAAAGUUAGGGGAUCGAAGACGAUCAGAUACCGUCGUAGUCUUAACCAUAAACUAUGCCGACUAGGGAUCGGAUGAUGUUGAUUUUUUAAUGACUCAUUCGGCACCUUACG
rnacentral:rRNA from 1 species